CUGGGACUACACCAGCUGCCAUCAUGCCUGGCUAAUUUUUUGUAUUUUUAGUAGAGACAGGGUUUCACCGUAUUGGCCAGGAUGGUCUUGAUCUCCUCACCUUGUGAUCCUCUUGCCUUGGCCUCCCAAAGUGCUGGGAUUACAGGCUUGAGCCAAGAUACAUAUUUUUUAAAUGAAGAAAAAUUUCAAAGGUACUCUGCUUGGUAUAAGAAUCAAAUAUAUAAAUUGAGGAAUAAAACCUAACCAUGAAACAUAUUUAUAACUGCAUAUGGAAAAUACAGAGGCUAAUUUUUUAAAUAACAUAUUUUGAAAGCAUUAACUAGUAAUUUGAAAAGAUCGCAUUUGACAGGCCAGUAUGAACAUACCUUGAAUGCAGCCACACAGGUUCCCCAUAAGAAAAAUCAAAAUCAGGGAAAAUGGAACCACAAAGGUUCAAUCUGCUCUGACCUUUGAAAAACUCAGCACAGAUAGUGGCACUUAGGACCAAGGGCAGCAGAUCCCUAAUCACAUCACCAUGGCGAUAGGGCAUAAACAUUCCAGGGUGAAGGCACAAUCCACACUGUGAGGUCCAAAUGCUGCCAUGCAGACAGCUUCAGGAAGGUCUUCCACGAGUUCUUCCAGAAGAAAGCCUUGUUAUCAUAGAAAAUGACAGCUGCAUGUAUGUUAUUGCCACUGAAGACCCUGAAGACCUUUCACUUGGACAAGAUUUCGAGAUGGAAGACAGUGAUAUUGAUUAUCCUGACCCUUACAGGGCUAAGCUAGUGUGUGUGUUUGUAUCUUAGUUUUUAACAAAAAUGUUUAAAACAUAAAAAAUCAAAAUAAAUGAAGCUUAUCAAAUAAG
rnacentral:lncRNA from 1 species